GACGAACGCUGGCGGCGUGCCUAAUACAUGCAAGUCGAGCGGAACUGGGGGAGCUUGCUCCUUCCAGUUUAGCGGCGGACGGGUGAGUAACACGUGGGCAACCUGCCCUGCAGAUCGGGAUAACUCCGGGAAACCGGUGCUAAUACCGAAUAGUUUGGCGCCUCUCCUGAGGCGCUACGGAAAGACGGUUUCGGCUGUCACUGCAGGAUGGGCCCGCGGCGCAUUAGCUAGUUGGUGGGGUAACGGCCCACCAAGGCGACGAUGCGUAGCCGACCUGAGAGGGUGACCGGCCACACUGGGACUGAGACACGGCCCAGACUCCUACGGGAGGCAGCAGUAGGGAAUCUUCCGCAAUGGACGCAAGUCUGACGGAGCAACGCCGCGUGAGUGACGAAGGUUUUCGGAUCGUAAAACUCUGUUGUGAGGGAAGAACACGUACCAACUAACUAUUGGUACCUUGACGGUACCUCACCAGAAAGCCACGGCUAACUACGUGCCAGCAGCCGCCGCAG
rnacentral:rRNA from 1 species